rnacentral:rRNA from 1 species
AUUGAACGCUGGCGGCAGGCCUAACACAUGCAAGUCGAACGAGUGGCGGACUGGUGAGUAAUGUCUGGGCAACUGCCUGAUGGAGGGGGAUAACUAGUGGAAACGGUAGCUAAUACCGCUUACGAUGAGAUGUGCUCAGAUGGGAUUAGCUAGUUGGUGGGGUAACGGCUCACCAAGGCGACGAUCCCUAGCUGGUCUGCGAGGGUGACCAGCCACACUGGAACUGAGACACGGUCCAGACUCCUACGGGAGGCAGCAGUGGGGAAUAUUGCACAAUGGGCGCAAGCCUGAUGCAGCCAUGCCGCGUGUAUGAAGAAGGCCUUCGGGUUGUAAAGUACUGUCAGCGGGGAGGCGUUACCCGAAGAAGAAGCACCGGCUAACUCCGUGCCAGCAGCCGCGGUAAUAC